AUGCUCUCUUCAUGGAUGGAGCUCUUUUGGCCUUUUCAGCAACUUCACUUUCAGGUUUGCUAUCUCCAAAUGUUGGCGUUUUCUUAAUGGAUGGAGCCUUUUUGGCCUUUUCAGCAACUUCGCUUUCAGGGGUGCUUUCUCCAAACGCUGGCAUUCUCUUAAUGGAUGGAACUUUUUUGAGCUUUCCAACAACUUCACUUUCAGGAGCCUGGAAACCUCUCAGGGUAGCAAAGACGAUAGAUUGAGGAGCAACACUGAUGGGCAACGUUGGAUCAACGAGCUUAGGCUUCAUUACCGGGAUGUCCAAUGAGGAAGUGAGCUUCAAUGGAGUUCCAUUUAGCAACAAGACAUCACUCUGAAUGUUUCCAUCUUUUGGAGUCAAAUGGUACUCUUCUCUUGGAUGCAUAGAAUCAACACUAUCAGGAUUUGGAUUUAUAUACUCAACCGAUGCAACACCUUCAGCGUACAUAUUCAAGUCAUCGACAACAGAGACAUCAAAGGCUUGAUAUGAAGAGUUACCAGAAGCCGUUAACGAAGGUGUGUGAAGUGGUUUUGCCACCACUGUUAUAAGCUCCACCAGAUUCACCAACCCAUGGUCCAGAUGAUGGUGAAAACAACUUAGCAUCAUUAUCAACAUUCUUAAAUGUUUGAGCUAUCUGACUUAGGAAAAAUGGAUUCUGAAGUUUGUCAAUCAAAGUUGGAUCAACACCUACAACGUGACAAUACAAACAUUCUUUUAACACGCCAGUUCGAAUCCUGAAUCUCUGGAAUACAACAAACAUACAUUAGUAUUACAUACCUGCUCCAAGGUUGUAAAUAUGAUGUGUCAAUCCAUCGACAACGCCCGGACCAGUUGUUUCAAGGAACUCUUGGAACCAUUUUUGAUCAUAAAAUCCACCAGGGGCCAAGAUUUUUGGUCUAUUAGCAGGAUUAGGAUACAUAUGUGUGACAAGUUUCUUCAAUUUCUUAACAUCAUUACCAUAUUGAUGAGCCUUUAUUUUUGCAGCAACUCCACUUCCACAAAGCUCAUUACCUAACAAAAAUUAAUGUUAGUAUUUUUUUUUUAUAUGAACAAGUAAAGAAAAAACGAUUUUUUUUGUUGUUUAGCGAUAAAA